rnacentral:rRNA from 1 species
AUGGAUUGUAACCUAAAGAUUGUCUUCUGGAACAUGCGCGGUUUGAACUCACGAGCUAGGCGCAUGGAGGUUCGCUCUUUGAUCUCUUCCGUGUCCCCUUCGAUCGUCUAUUUGAGUGAGACCAAGCUCGCGGUAGUUGACUCGUCCAUCGUCACGGAUACCCUCAGGCCACUCUUUGAUCGUUUCUUAUUCCUUCCCACGUCCGGGACACGCGGCGGAAUUCUCAUGGCCUAG